GGCAAAGAUCAGAAAGCAAUUUAGAUAGGUAUUAGUCAGAUUUGUUUCUCAUUUACCAAAACGUAGUAUAAUGGCUGCCAAGAAAAUACAGCAGAAGGUACAGGUCUCCAAAGAGAAUCCUCUUCCUUGAUUACAGGACUGAGGCUAUGUACCAACAUCAAUUAAUAGCACCAGGGAGUCCAGCCAGCAUACUUAAAGCGACUAACUUCUUACAUCAGAUGUUCUUUUAUGGAAAGCUUUUGCGAAAUUGCUCUCCCCACUAAAGACAGGGUAACUGUGCAGAAAUAGAAGAUCAGA